rnacentral:tRNA from 1 species
GGAGAGUUGGCUCAGUGGUUAAGAGCACUGGUUGCUGUUCCAGAGAACCUGGGUUCAAUUCCCAAUUCACAA